rnacentral:rRNA from 1 species
GUGGGGAAUUUUCCGCAAUGGGCGAAAGCCUGACGGAGUGACGCCGCGUGGGGGACGAAGGCCUUCGGGUCGUAAACCCCUGUCAGAGGGAAAGAAGGGUCGCCGACCUAACACGUCGGUGAUCUGACGGUACCUUCAGAGGAAGCCCCGGCCAACUCUGUGCCAGCAGCCGCGGUAAGACAGAGGGGGCAAGCGUUGCUCGGAAUCACUGGGCGUAAAGGGCGCGUAGGCGGGAUGGCAAGUCGGUCGUGAAAUCCUUCGGCCCAACCGAAGAACGUCGGCCGAUACUGCCGUUCUUGAGGGAUGCAGAGGAGACUGGAAUUCCCGGUGUAGCGGUGAAAUGUGUAGAGAUCGGGAGGAACACCGGUGGCGAAGGCGGGUCUCUGGGCAUUUCCUGACGCUGAGGCGCGAAAGCGUGGGGAGCAAACGGGAUUAGAAACCCUUGUAGUCC